rnacentral:lncRNA from 1 species
AUCUAGGGCGGCUCCGACACCGACCUGUUUUUUUUUCUUUUCCUUCAUUUUUUAUUUCGUUCAAAAAUCUUGUCGUUCAUUUUUAUCCAAGUUAAUAAUAUAGUGUCAUCUUAAUCAUCCCGUUUCUUUCAGACAGUAGGGUUGCUCCAUAACAUUAUUGGAAACUGGUAAUUAUGAGUUUUGAUUUUACUGCCCUAGCCUGACAAGACGGAAGGAAUUUUACAUUAGAAAUAUUCGAAUAAGUAUAUUUCUCUUUUUCCUUCGACCGUUGUAAAUUACUUUCUUCUCCGAAUCGAUGUGUAUUCAUAUGCAUGAUAUGACCCAACGGUUCCAAGUAGAACCCAAUAAGUUUAUGGGUACAUAUGUUUGUUAACUGUUUUUUUUUUUUUUUUUGAAAAAAUAUGUUUGUUAACUGUUUUCGUGUUAUAAGAAUUCCAUGCGUCAUGCACGUCGAUGAAUAAACUCGAUGCAAUCUUUGAUGAACUGAAUGAAUGUUUUUAGGAUCUAUAUAUCGCGAUUUCUUAUUUUACAAAAGAUUACUUUCAUUGCAAAAAA